GACGAACGCUGGCGGCAUGCCUAAUACAUGCAAGUCGAACGCUUUAAUUUCACCGGGUGCUUGCACCCAUCGAAGUUAAGGAGUGGCGGACGGGUGAGUAACACGUGGGUAACCUGCCCAUAAGAGGGGGAUAACAUUCGGAAACGGAUGCUAAUACCGCAUAUUUCUAAUCGUCUCCUGACGAAUGGAAGAAGAAGGAAAGAUGGCCUUUGCGCUAUCACUGAGGGAUGGACCCGCGGCGUAUUAGUUAGUUGGUGGGGUAAUGGCCUACCAAGACGAUGAUACGUAGCCGACCUGAGAGGGUGAUCGGCCACAUUGGGACUGAGACACGGCCCAA
rnacentral:rRNA from 1 species